rnacentral:piRNA from 1 species
UGCGGGUUGCUAGGUUAGGUUUCCGUAGC